GCCCCGCUAGCCCAAUUGGCAGAGGCAUCAGGUUUAAGCCCUGAUCAGUCCGAGUUCGAAUCUCGGGCGGGGUACCA
rnacentral:tRNA from 1 species